AGGUUCGGAGCGACCUUGGCCGUUGGCCUGACCAUCUUUGUGCUGUCUGUCGUCACUAUCAUCAUCUGCUUCACCUGCUCCUGCUGCUGCCUUUACAAGACGUGCCGCCGACCACGUCCGGUUGUCACCACCACCACAUCCACCACUGUGGUGCAUGCCCCUUAUCCUCAGCCUCCAAGUGUGCCGCCCAGCUACCCUGGACCAAGCUACCAGGGCUACCACACCAUGCCGCCUCAGCCAGGGAUGCCAGCAGCACCCUACCCAAUGCAGUACCCACCACCUUACCCAGCCCAGCCCAUGGGCCCACCGGCCUACCACGAGACCCUGGCUGUUGAUAUGAGACUGAAACCCCUGGGUUGUGGAGGGAAAUUGGCUCAGAGAUGGACAACCUGGCAACUGUGAGUCCCUGCUUCCCGACACCAGCCUCAUGGAAUAUGCAACUCCUGUACCCCAGUCCAGGGUGUUCUGGCAGCAGGGACACCUGGGCCAAUGAGCCAUCUGGACCAAAGGUGGGGUGUGGGGCCCUGGAUGGCAGCUCUGGCCCAGACAUGAAUACCUCGGUGUUCCUCCUCCCUCUAUUACUGUUUCACCAGAGCUGUCUUAGCUCAAAUCUGUUGUGUUUCUGAGUCUAGGGUCUGUACACUUGUUUAUAAUAAAUGCAAUCGUUUGGA
rnacentral:sRNA from 1 species